AAUGAACGUUGGCGGCGUGGAUUAGGCAUGCAAGUCGAGCGAGAACCGUAGCAAUACGGGGACAGCGGCGAAAGGGACAGUAAUGUGUAGGUACUUACCCCUGGGUUCGGGAUAGCUGCGGGAAACUGCAGGUAAUACCGAAUAACGUCUCAGGACCAAAGGUGUGAUUCCACCUGGGGAGGGGCCUGCAUCCUAUUAGCUUGUUGGCGGGGUAAUGGCCCACCAAGGCAACGAUGGGUAGCGGGUGUGAGAGCACGACGCGCGUCAUUGGGACUGAGAUACUGCCCAGACACCUACGGGUGGCUGCAGUCGAGGAUCUUCGGCAAUGGGCGAAAGCCUGACCGAGCGACGCCGCGUGCGGGAUGAAGGCCUCCGGGUUGUAAACCGCUGUCGUAGAGGAGGAAAUGCAGGGGGGUUCUCCCCUCUGUUUGACCUAUUCUAGGAGGAAGUACGGGCUAAGUUCGUGCCAGCAGCCGCCGUAACAC
rnacentral:rRNA from 1 species